UACGUAGGACCCCAAGCGUUGUCCGGAUUUACUGGGUGUAAAGGGUGCGCAGGCGGAUGGGUAAGUCAGAGGUGAAAGUCUGCAGCUUAACUGUAGAAUUGCCUUUGAUACUGCUUGUCUUGAGUGUGGGAGAGGUUGAUGGAAUUCCAGGUGUAGCAGUGAAAUGCGUAGAUAUCUGGAAGAACACCAGUGGCGAAGGCGGCUACUUGGUCUGCAACUGACGCUGAGGCGCGAAAGCGUGGGGAUCAAACAGGAUUAGAUACCCUAGUAGU
rnacentral:rRNA from 1 species